UGCUUCUCUGAUGUUAGCGGCGGACGGGUGAGUAACACGUGGAUAACCUACCUAUAAGACUGGGAUAACUUCGGGAAACCGGAGCUAAUACCGGAUAAUAUUUUGAACCGCAUGGUUCAAAAGUGAAAGACGGUCUUGCUGUCACUUAUAGAUGGAUCCGCGCUGCAUUAGCUAGUUGGUAAGGUAACGGCUUACCAAGGCAACGAUGCAUAGCCGACCUGAGAGGGUGAUCGGCCACACUGGAACUGAGACAAGGUCCAGACUCCUACGGGAGGCAGCAGUAGGGAAUCUUCCGCAAUGGGCGAAAGCCUGACGGAGCAACGCCGCGUGAGUGAUGAAGGUCUUCGGAUCGUAAAACUCUGUGAUUAGGGAAGAAACAUAUGUGUAAGUAACUGUGCACAUCUUGACGGUACCUAAUCAGAAAGCCACGGCUAACUACGUGCCAGCAGCCGCGGUAAUACGUAGGUGGCAAGCGUUAUCCGGAAUUAUUGGGCGUAAAGCGCGCGUAGGCGGUUUUUUAAGUCUGAUGUGAAAGCCCACGGCUCAACCGUGGAGGGUCAUUGGAAACUGGAAAACUUGAGUGCAGAAGAGGAAAGUGGAAUUCCAUGUGUAGCGGUGAAAUGCGCAGAGAUAUGGAGGAACACCAGUGGCGAAGGCGACUUUCUGGUCUGUAACUGACGCUGAUGUGCGAAAGCGUGGGGAUCAGACAGGAUUAGAUACCCUGGUAGUCCACGCCGUAAACGAUGAGUGCUAAGUGU
rnacentral:rRNA from 1 species